AUUGAACGCUGGCGGCAGGCCUAACACAUGCAAGUCGAGCGGGGUUUUCGGACCUAGCGGCGGACGGGUGAGUAAUGCGUAGGAAGCUACCCGAUAGAGGGGGAUACCAGUUGGAAACGACUGUUAAUACCGCAUAAUGUCUACGGACCAAAGUGUGGGACCUGCGGGCCACAUGCUAUCGGAUGCGCCUACGUGGGAUUAGCUAGUUGGGGAGGUAAUGGCUCACCAAGGCGACGAUCCAUAGCUGGUUUGAGAGGAUGGUCAGCCACCCUGGAACUGGGACCAGGUCCAGACGACUCCGGGAGGCAGCGGUUUCGAAUGAUCCACGGGGGGCGAAAGCCUGAUGGUGCGAGGCCGCGUGGGGGAUGAAGGCCUUCGGGUUGUAAACCUCUGUCACCGGGGAAGAAACGCUUCAAGUUAAUAGCUUGAAGCCUGACUUAACCCGGAGAGGAAGCAGUGGCUAACUCUGUGCCAGCCGCCGCAGUAAAAC
rnacentral:rRNA from 1 species